CCGAUGCCUUUCCGCGAGGCAUCCAUAUGGCGACCCACGGCCUCUGCGGCCAGAUCUCAGGCUCCGACCUCGCCUCCAGUUUUUCAGGCUCCUCCUCCGGCAACGGCCGUCGGCAUGGAGCAGUCAGAUAAUCGACCUCCGACGGAUUUCGCCAACACCAUCUCGGAGGAAUCCCGACGGGGAGCGGCCGGCGUAUUGGUCGGACCUCCCAAGCGACAAA
rnacentral:lncRNA from 1 species